AGCGCCGGGAAGUGUGAUCGGAAUUCUAGGAGGCGUCAUCGCUGCUGUUAUUAUCAUCAGCGCCAUUGUAACCGUCUUCUUCAUUUACCGGCGGCAACAGAAGAACCGAGCAGAUACGGACAAUGAUCUGAUCGACCUCCCUCCAUCCCACAAACCGCCAGCUCCUGAAAAGAAGACGGAGAUGAAGAGUCAGUUGACGGCAGAUGACAUUCAGGUGGUACAGCUGGACAGCACGAAGGAAGAAGAGGAUGCUGUGAAGACUCCAGUCCAGACCCAGU